UUUGCUAAGUGAGAGCUGGAUCUCAAUCCUACCAGGGAAGACUCACAGCUACUUGUUGCCUUGCAGAGUUCUGGCUCCCAAGUUAAAAAAAAAGGAGAAAAAAAAACCAUAAAAGAAAACCACACAGCAUUGCUUCCUUGGAAACGGUGGAAAAACAUCUUUGAGGGAGCAAGAGAGAGCAGCAGGGAGCUGGAUUUAAAUAGCAGAGGAAUUUCACUGAACCCUGAGCAGGCUGCCUCUGCAGGUGCUGGGAGAACUCAUCCCAGCCAAAGCUCCUGGGACACACCUCCCACUGCCAGGCUGCAGCCAGAGCCACCUGAGAUGUCACCGGUGCCACGAGCCCCCUGUGAGCCCUGCAGAGCCUGAAUGAGACCCCCAGAAUGGACACCAAGAGAAGAAAACAUCCUUUUUUCUAAUAAAUAAAUUGUGCUACCACUAAAUGUAAA